rnacentral:tRNA from 1 species
GCGGUUGUGGCUCAGUGGUAGAGUGCUUGCCUAGCAUGCAUGAAGACUGGGUUCAAUCUUCAGCACCUCA